AUCCUUGCGCAUGGGGACCUGACGCAGCUUGGGAGGUAAUACCGAGGCGCGUCGAUUGCUGGUCGGAAACUAUUUCCAAACCACCUCUCUGGCCCUAGGCCGCCGAGAAUUUCUGGAAGGGCUCCCUCUAACCAGGGUAAAGCC